rnacentral:rRNA from 1 species
GAUGAACGCUGGCGGCGUGCCUAAUACAUGCAAGUCGAGCGAACGGACGAGAAGCUUGCUUCUCUGAUGUUAGCGGCGGACGGGUGAGUAACACGUGGAUAACCUACCUAUAAGACUGGGAUAACUUCGGGAAACCGGAGCUAAUACCGGAUGAUAUUUUGAACCGCAUGGUUCAAAAGUGAAAGACGGUCUUGCUGUCACUUAUGGAUGGAUCCGCGCUGCAUUAGCUAGUUGGUAAGGUAAUGGCUUACCAAGGCAACGAUGCAUAGCCGACCUGAGAGGGUGAUCGGCCACACUGGAACUGAGACACGGUCCAGACUCCUACGGGAGGCAGCAGUAGGGAAUCUUCCGCAAUGGGCGAAAGCCUGACGGAGCAACGCCGCGUGAGUGAUGAAGGUCUUCGGAUCGUAAAACUCUGUUAUUAGGGAAGAACAUAUGUGUAAGUAACUGUGCACAUCUUGACGGUACCUAAUCAGAAAGCCACGGCUAACUACGUG